AGGAAGGCUCUUGGGUUGUAAACCUCUUUUCUCAGGGAAGAACAAAAUGACGGUACCUGAGGAAUAAGCAUCGGCUAACUCCGUGCCAGCAGCCGCGGUAAUACGGAGGAUGCAAGCGUUAUCCGGAAUGAUUGGGCGUAAAGCGUCCGCAGGUGGCAUGAAAGUCUGCUGUUAAAGAGUCURGCUCAACCAGAUAAAGGCAGUGGAAACUACAAAGCUAGAGUACGUUCGGGGCAGAGGGAAUUCCUGGUGUAGCGGUGAAAUGCGUAGAGAUUGGGAAGAACACCGGUGGCGAAAGCGCUCUGCUAGGCCGUAACUGACACUGAGGGACGAAAGCUAGGGGAGCGAAUGGGAUUAGAUA
rnacentral:rRNA from 1 species